rnacentral:rRNA from 1 species
AUAUUAUUUAUAGCAAAAGUUUGGACCAGUAUUAUAUUGGUCAUACAAAUAACUUGAAGCGUAGAUAUAUAGAGCAUAAUACAGGUAAGUCGGUAUAUACUAGUCGUGCAAACGACUGGGAGUUGAUUUAUUAUGAAGCGUUUGUGUCGCGUAAAUUAGCGAUGAAUCGCGAGAGAAAGCUUAAGCCAAGAGGCAAAGCCUAUCAAGAAUUAUUCAAAAGAAUUAUUAAUUAAAAUGGUGAGGGGUGACGGCGUGCUUUUUGUAGAACGAUCCAGCGAGUUACGAUAUGUGGCAAGGUUAAGGUGCUAUCGCACCGGAGCCGUAGUGAAAGCGAGCCUUAACUGGGCGAUUUAGUCGCAUGUCGUAGACCCGAAACCAGGUGACCUAACCAUGGCCAGGCUGAAGCGCAGGUAAAACUGCGUGGAGGGCCGAACCACCGCCAGCUGCAAAUGGCUUGGAUGAGCUGUGGUUAGCGGAGAAAUUCCAAUCGAACCUGGAGAUAGCUGGUUCUCCUCGAAAUAGCUUUAGGGCUAGCGUCAUAAACUACCUCUCAGGGGUAGAGCACUGAAUGGGUAGUAGGCUGUUUACAGUACUACGCUCAAUCAAACUCCGAAUACUGAGAAAGAUUAUUAUGGCAGUCAGAACACGGGAGCUAAGUUUCGUGCUCGAAAGGGAAACAGCCCAGAUCGCCAUCUAAGGUCCCCAAGUCAUAGCUAAGUGGGAAACGAGGUGGGAUUGCAUAAACAACCAGGAUGUUGGCUUAGAAGCAGCCAUGCAUUUAAAGAGUGCGUAACAGCUCACUGGUCGAUUGUGAUCCCGCGCGGAAAAUAUAACGGGGCUAAGCUAUGCACCGAAGAUGCGAAUUCCAUAUUUUAUAUGGAGUGGUAGAGGAGCGUUGUAUAUGUGCUGAAGCCAAACCGUAAGGUUUGGUGGAACGUAUACAAGUGAGAAUGCUGGAAUGAGUAACUAUAAGGCAGGUGAGAAUCCUGCCCACCGUAAGAACAAGGUUUCCUGGGCAACGUUUAUCGUCCCAGGGUUAGUCGGGCCUAAGCCGAGGCGAGUAGCGUAGGCGAUGGACAACAGGUUGAUAUUCCUGUACCGGUAUAAUUGUUCCCACACAAGACGCAGGAUGGUAACGUGAGCGGCUUUAUGGCUAUAGCCGUCUAAGUGCGUAGUCUACGAUUUAUCGUAGCCGAAACACGAAUGAAACGACUCUUUACCGAGUUGAAUUCGCGUGAGCCAAACUGACUAGAAAAUUGUGUGAUUAAUAGAUUAUGCCGCCCGUACCGCAAACCGACACAGGUGUUCGGGUCGAGUAGACCAAGGUGCUCGGGAGAACCCUCGUUAAGGAACUCGGCAAUACAGCGACCGUAACUUCGGGAUAAGGUCUGCCUCUGCGUUCCACACAUUGUAUAAACAAUCGUGGAAAGUAAGUGACUAUAUUUCAAAGAGAUAUACGAAUGUAUUGAGCAAGAGUUCCAAGUUUGAAGGAAACUUGUAAAAAAAUCUUCAAGUUUGAGUAGCUUUUGUCUCAAGUGACUUUACGCAAUGCGUGGAGCGCGGAGGCCGCAGCGAAAGAGCCCAUGCAACUGUUUAUCAAAAACACAGGUCUGUGCGAACACGAAAGUGGAUGUAUACGGACUGACGCCUGCCCAGUGCCGGAAGGUUAAGUGAGCGAGUGCAAGCUUGUGAUCGAAGCCCCGGUGAACGGCGGCCGUAACUAUAACGGUCCUAAGGUAGCGAAAUUCCUUGUCGGGUAAGUUCCGACCCGCACGAAAGG